rnacentral:lncRNA from 1 species
AUCAAGCUGUUGCAGUUUCAUGAGCAGGAGCAGGGGUCCAAGGGCUCUCCUAACUGCUGCUUGACAACUUUGGCGUCUGAGCACUGGUCCAUGCGCUGGACUGCUCCUGUGGGGAAGGAGAGCUGACUCCAAGAGGAUCAAACACACCUGAGGUCUCCCCAAGGAUGCUGCUCCACAGGGCAACUGUCCUGUCCAAGGAGGCAGAGCAGGGUCUGUUUUCACUGUUUGUUUAGGGUUCAUUUYGUUCACAAGAAGCCUCCUCUUUUAUACCAGAGCUGCUUUUGUGGCAGGCUCAAGAGACACGCUGAAGAUGGAGGAAUGGCAGGACUCAAUCACUUUCUCCUUUGACAGUCUCCCCCUGUAAUAGUCCAUUUUCUAUCCCUGAUCACACAGCUUUUUGCUCACCUCACAGUCUUCAAUGCAGUGGCCAGGAGGGGGUGACAGGAUGUCCCASAGCCUGUCAUUUAAGCAACAAUAUGACUCUCCUUGGUCCAUAAGRAGAGGGCUCUGAUCUGGGCAUCCUGGCUUGCCCUUGGGGAACAUCGUGCCACACCUGAAUGUCACAGCUCAGGACCUUUGGUUCCCUUUUUAUUUGAGCGCAGCAGUCAGACUGCCCAUGGCUCUCCAGCAGAGCUGCCUCUGCUGCGCAAGCAGGCACACGGCUGGUGAGGACACGAUGCAGAACUAACCCAUCGUGUGCUCAAACUCAUCCAGGUGUGUCUUUUUAGCCAGCCGCCAGCAAUGCCAGAGAGGUCCCAGAAGGAYGAGAAAGCUGAGAGCAAACACACUYCUGAAGAACAACCUCRAACUGUUAAUGAAGGUCACAACAGAGCACAAAAGGAGGUACGGUACCUGCCUACCCCGUGGGACCGAAAAAACCGCUGGGCAACCUGGGACGAAGACAGGCGCCAGAGAGAAAGAGCAGACCUGGCAGCCAUGCUAGCUAGGAGAGAGAAGGAAGAGCAGCGGAUGGCCAAGUUGAAACCUCUUUUAGAAAAAGUGGUUCCAGAGGAAGAAUAUGGCUAUACUCCAGGGGUGGCUGAUCUCAAAAGAUGGAGGAAGCUUUUACAGAGCACAGAACAUUUGAAACCCCACUCUCUUGGGGAGAGYACGCCCACCCCCAUCAAGAGAAAGGCAUAUGACGAAGGGCUGAAGGAGAAGAUUAAGCAGAAGGGGGAAAAGGAUGAGAAUCCUAAAUCCACAGAGAAGCAGAAAGAACCAAACCUGCUGAAGUUACUGCCAGAGGACAUUUUGGAGAUGGUCCAGCUACAAGACUGGGUGGUGAAAGGUMUCAGGACGGCGAGCCGUGCAAAUGAGAUAUGAACAACCCUGGAGCGUCCGAUGCCCUGUCAGACUCUACAUACGCCUCCAGAUCCUGGCACAGUCUGGAUAAACUUCCACCCUUUUUUUUUCCUUUGCAAGGACAUUAAUUCUUUGACUCUCUAACUGCAGUCACGUGCCUCCAAGUCUGUUGAUCAUCAUCCAAUGACAAUUAAUCUUUGCAAUGGAGUUCCUCAGGAUUUCUGUGAUAAUUUUCUUGAAUUCAAUCACAUUAUCCAAUGGUGUGAGUCUUUCCUUGAGGGAGUGUAAAUUCAGCAGCGAGYGAGCUCACUGCUGAGUCAGGGGCAGGGAAAAGACAGCCAGCAGAUGGGCUUAUGCUUCUGUCCCUGCUCCUAGGGCAGCCCUCUCCCAAGAUACACGGCACACGUCGUCUGUGUGCCCGCCUUGCCAUAUCUAUGUCUGUCUACCCACCCACAUGUCAGCCUGCUUACCCCUCUGCCCUAUCACCCGCUCCUCCGCCCCUUCUCUCCCUGCCUACCUCCCCAUGCACCUGCCUAUCCAUCCACUUCCCUAGGUACCCACUCGCCUAUCUACCUGCUUAAUUCUCUACCUGCCUACAUACCUGUCUCCCUCAAAGUGCCCAACUGCCUGUCUCCCCCUACAGACACACAGCUCUCUGGAUAAGCUUUAUUUAUCUGUAUAGCUAGAACUUCCUCUCCCYAUAGAUCUAUGUCUUUAUCAUGGCAUAUAUGAGCUCCCUGGUACCCUACAUCCAACCCGGUCCGGCUGUAGGUACUGUACUUAGAUCAGAUAGCUGAAACAACAUCUUUGAUGUUGUACAGCCCCACCUCUGGCUGUCCUUUCCCAGGUAGGGACAGACACUCUUUAUCCCCAGAGAAAGUUGGAGGAGCUGCUGCUUUCCCCGUUCCCUCCUUGAAAAACAACCUACCAGCAAUGGAGCCUGCCUUCCUCCUCUCUCUGCCUUCUGGAAAUAGGGUUGGGUCUGUAACGCGGCUGUGGGGUAAAGCAGGGCUCUUCUUUG